CCACCCUCCCUCCUGAAACAACGACGGACAUCGACAGCGUUGUCGAACACGAUUCCCGAAGCGGUCCGACGCUUUGGAAGCGGAACGCCGGAGUCAGAAGCCCCCAAGCCCCCCCGCACCCCAGGGGUCAAGACUUGAGACACGCGCGCACCUUCUCCGCCGCACAUGCCACCAGCCGGAGGGGGGGGGGGGCGAGGUGUGGCGGGAUGGGCGCAAAGUUUAUACUUUGACCCUUUCCUUUUUUGUGGAGUUUUUUCCUUUAGUUUCUAUCUGUCGUCGUCUCUGGACUUUGGGUGUCGGACUCCGUGUUUCGUUUUAGUUUGUUCUGUUUUCUUUGGGGCCUGCCGGUCGCUCUGGAAGAUCGCUCCGGUGUUUUGUUUUUUUUUGCUUUUGUCAAAGCGAUUCUGGAGACUUGCGAAAGCCGCGCAUUGAUGGAGAUCUGCACACACACACACACACACACACACACACACACACACACACACACACCCCUCUCUUCCUCUACAUCUAGGACUGCACCGCAAAGCUUCUGAGAAAGAGGAAAUACAAACUGUUGCAUUUUGUGCUACUGGACUUCAGCCAAACAUAUACACACACACUCUCUCACAUUCUCACACACACACACACACACACCUCAAAACCUGCCCCUGAAAAGUUACCACUCAUACAAAACACACACACAUACCCACACGCUCUUUUCCUUUAUAAUUUUUGUUCGCACUGCCUCCCCACUAAAUCUGUUUCCGUAUUGUCGCCUUUUCUCGUUUCCUUUGAGCUUUCGUUUGACAGGAGCAAAUGAGACCCGGAAUAGAUUUUGAACAUGUAUGCGCGUACCCAAAUAUAUAUUUACUUCAUCAAAUUCAAACAAAGGAAAAGGCUAGAUCUCUUUCCAUUAAUGGUAAUCUCAAGAGCGCGUUUUAACCCUUUCCUACGAUGGAGUUUCAAUUGCCGAGAUAGUUUGCUGUUCUGGGGGAUAUUACGUUUAUAACAGCGGUUAUGAAUAAUAUCAAAAUGAUAAUUGAAAGCUCUGUAUAUUACCCAGCACUAAAACAGACAAAGAAAUAUAUAGAUAAAUAUAUAUUUACCUGCUAGGUACUACCGGACUAUUUGUGAUUUCUUUUUUUCGUUGAGUUUGAUACCAAGUAGUUACUUGUAUGUUGUUUUUGUUGAUGAAGUGUACGUCACAAAUGAUGCGAAAACGCGAAGGACCGCUCUUCUACGCCCUUCUUAACGUGGAGGCUGUUCCCCAUGUCAACAUAAUGACGACCAGCAGGUGGCGCCACAUCUCACCCUUUGUUGACCGCAAUCAUUACAAAAUUAUUUUCUUUCCCCCCCCCCCAAGGGCUCCCAAGAGACUCGGUUCUCGCGUUGGACUGCUCCGCAGGCAGGAAAGGGUUAAACAAAUAAACUCCAUUCCUUAAUGACUCAGGAAACACUUUUUUGCGAAUUCUACUUUUUUUUUCUUGAUCUCCAAAAGUUAUGUUUUGUGGAGAAAAAAAAAAGAAUGACUUAUGAGUAGUAUGGCUAUUUCUCUCCCCUCUUCUUCAUUGUGGUAUUUUUAUAUACAAGACAUACGACACAUCCUAUGUUUUGGUGUUGAAAGAGUUUUAAAGAGUCCUGUUAGAUUUGUAUUGCCUAGUUAAAUGUACCUAUAACCAUAGUCCUAUGUGGUCCACUCUUUUCUAUUAUUCUAUUUUGCUUCUAUUGAAGGCCAGGUUCAUUGGGGCCAUCCAGUACUCUGAGAGCAAUAGCAGAAACUCAUACGUAGUGUCGAGACGAUAGAAGAGGCAGCCAGCAGUAUGGUUUACUUUUUUUUUGUUUCUUUUUUUUAGUGUGAGUGUUUGUAUUCGUUUCUUGUACAAGGUGAACAUUAAGCAUUCAGUGCAGUUCAAAUAAAAUACUCAAACAUGAGGAACAAAACGGUUUGUCUGUCUCCUCCAGUAGGGCCGAGCUCUCUGAGUGGCCAACGACGUGCGUCGCGACGUAGGUCGCAUUGGUCUCGACGUAGGUCGCUGCGUUGGUCGCUCGUCUGGCUGCUUUCAGUCGAUGUGGUCGCUGGCUGGCUCACUCAAAGUCUACAUGAUCAGUUGAUUUGCAUGGUAUUAACGUUUUUUUUGCGACAGUUGAAGUACCAGAAAGCCAUGCUCUCUGGCGAAAGCUACCUACAGCUCUUUAUUGCUAAUAUUGUUUUAAUAUUUUUCUAUUGAAGUACAGUUUAAAAUGAUGAAAUCGUUGGUCUAUCAGUAUCAAUAAAAUAUAUUAGUCGUAAUUUGGGGCGUAUUCAAAUAAUGUAUUUUAUAUAUUAUAUAUAGCCUAUUUGUUUUGUUAAAUGUCAUUAAGCCUAAUAACGUAUAUUAUGCACAAAGUUCUUCGUUAUAGAGUGAUAGACUUAAAUAUAUGUGCAAUAAUAUGAAGCCAAUGCCACAGUUGUACAAGCGGUAGUCACGCUGGGUUAGUAAUCAUGAAGGCCGGUGUUUGAUUCUCUCCACGGACGGGUAUAUUUUUGCUCUUUUAGUCAAACUUAUUGACGCAAUCGGCCUCUUUCAUUUAACAUUUUUGUAUGAUUUAGUACGAUGGUUUGAUAAUUAUACGACGUAAUGAUGGGCUGCGACACUGGCUGGUGUCGGUUGGCUGGCUGCGACGACAGGCCAGCCGCUGGCUGCCGCUGGCC
ensembl:lncRNA